ACAACAGACAUUUUGAGAAAAAUUAUUCUAUCUUCAUUACAUUCGAUACCAACCACGGUAUCGAAAAAGGAACGAAUGUUCGUAUAAAAGGGCUUACUGUAGGUUCUGUAUGUAACAUUCUCAAGCAAGCUGACAGGAUUGUUGCUAUUGCUCACAUCAGUACAAGUAUUGGUAAUAUUCACCAAGAUUCUAUAGUUGAAACCAAUCACUCCGGUUUAUUUAGUGAAACAACUAUAGAUAUUGUUCCAUUAGACAAUACGCUUUACAAUAGUUAUAAUAGAAUUGAUCCCUUUGACUCAGAGUGCCCAAAAUCAAGUAAUCUUUGCCACUUGUCAUCAAUAGAAGGAGAAAGAGGAUUUGAUUAUGAUGACCUGAUUCGUGUAACCACAAGAAUAUUGCAAAGAUUAGAUGCUCCCCGUCACACAAAGCUAUCUUAUUUAUUUUGGCAACCAGGAAUGCUGUCAUUUAGAGAUAUCUUGAAAAUAACAGCUGCUCCUACCAGUUCAAGCUCGUUGCUCUAAAUUUUUAAUUAUAAUAUUAUUGACUACUAAUAUGCUGAUUACUAAUUAAUUAUAUAUUUUAAAGACAUAUUACAUCUGAGACAAACAUGAAUGAAAAAAAAACACUAGUACUAGAUUUUCUUAAACCGGUAGUUGAGCUCAAGAAUCAAGUAAUACAUCUUAAUGAUGUAAUUAGUACAAAUAGUAUCUCUAUCAGUCAAGAGCUGAGUCUUUUUCAACAAGAAAUAACAAAUUUAAAACAAGAUAUUUUUGCGUGUCUAUCUCCAUUAGAACGCUUGCACCUUGUCAGACAAGCAGAGAGACCAACAACGCUUGACUAUGUACCAUAUUUGCUCGACAAUUGGAUUGAAUUACAUGGUGAUAGAAACGGUGCUGAUGAUCCUGCGUUAGUUGGUGGUAUAGGUAAGUUAGGACAGCAAUCAGUAGUUUUUAUUGGCCACCAAAGAGGUAAAGAUACUAAGGAAAAUGUCUCGCGUAAUUUUGGAAUGGCUUCACCUGGUGGAUACAGAAAAGCCUUAAGAUUAAUGAGAUAUGCAGAGCGCUUUAGCUUGCCUAUUAUUACUUUUGUAGACACGCCCGGAGCAUGGGCUGGUAUUGAGGCAGAAAGAUUGGGGCAAGGAGAAGCUAUUGCGAUGAACUUAAGAGAAAUGUUUUCUUUUAAUGUUCCAAUUAUUUGUACAGUUAUAGGAGAAGGAGGAUCAGGAGGUGCACUGGGUAUAGGUAUAGGCGAUUCAAUUAUCAUGCUUGAACAUGCUGUUUAUACUGUAGCAACUCCUGAAGCAUGCGCUGCUAUCCUAUGGAAAAAUAGUCAAGAGUCGCCUGAGGCAGCAGAAGCUCUCAAGAUAACAGCUUCUGAUCUCAAAGUUUUAGGUAUUAUUAAUAAAAUUGUACCAGAGCCAUUGGGUGGAGCACAGGCAGACCCAUUACAGGCUGCUCAAAACCUCAAAGAGGUUUUAUCUACAGAACUUAAUUUUCUAAUGAAUCUACCAGCUGCCGACAGAAGAAAUGAAAGAUAUAAUAAGUUUAGAAAAAUGGGUACAUUCUAUGAAAAUUAGAUGUAGCUAUUCUCAUUAUCUGAAGAUAUCGUCCGUAACAUUUCAUUUCUGUGUAAGAUACGUACUACGCAAGAAAUAUUUAUGCUGUACUGGUUAGUAAAUACUGUUAAGCAAUAUUUUAUAUUGUAUUAAGAUAUUAACUAAUAAUACCUGUACUUCGUAAUCCUAGAAUUGCACCCGCUCCAAUAACAUGUCCUAAGCUAGUUGUAGCCAGUAGUUCAGUUAAACCAAAACCUUCAAGACCUGCAAUUGGAAUUGAAGGCCCAAUAUUUCUAACUUGUAUUGCGUAUCGUCCUACUCCUACUGCGAAUAUAUUGCUGAUAAUCAUAAUGACAGCUACUUGUGUAGACCAAGAAGCAUCAGAGUUGUUUAAAGCAAUUAAAAAGCUGUUAUUCAUUAUAUUAUAUGUAUGUGUAUUUUAUUUUAUAUGUUACGGUCUCAGCAGUAUGUAUAUUUAAGUAAUCUUAUUCUAAAAUAGAAAAUCAUUUCCUUCAACGUUAAUAUUAUAAGAAUUAACAUUUCAUAUAACCACCAAUCUGAGAUGCGAUUCAUUUUAAUUAUGAUACCCAUCCGUAGCUGUGUAAGCCCUGACCUAAGAAAUUAACACCAAGAUAGCAAAUCCAAACAAUAAAAAAACCAACUGAUGCUAUAAUAGCAGGUUUUUUACCUUGCCAUGAUUGUGUUAGGCGCGAAUGUAAGUAUGAUGCAAAAAUCAGCCAAGUGAUCAAAGCCCAAGUCUCUUUUGGAUCCCAGCUCCAAUACGAUCCCCAUGCUUCAUUGGCCCAAACAGCCCCUGAAAUAAUACCAAUGGUAAGCAUUGGAAACCCUAAACCAAUAAUUCGAUAGCUUAGAUUGUCUAAACUUUCUAAUAAAUUCAUACGGGGUGAUGACUGAAUAUUUAUAUCCGUAGACUCUUUCUUCUCAAGUCUUUCUCGAUUCUUAUUACUUUGAUUUAUCACAGAUAGACUUAAGAUUUUUCCAGUCGCACUACCUUUGAGCUGAAUAGACUGACCGAAAGUAAUAAUUAGAAAAAAAAUAGAAAUUAAGGAACCUAUAAUUAGAAAUGCAUAACUAAGCAUCAUAAUGGUUACAUGCAUCAUUAGCCAAUUAGAGCGUAAAGCAGGAACUAAAGGACUUGCUUGUUGCAUUUCAAUAGGUAAAGAAAGACUAGCAAAAGCAAUAAUAAAUAAUUGUAUUGGCACACUAAUAGCACCCACUACUUGGCUAUUAGUUUGUCGCUCAAGAAUGAGAUGGACUAAUGUUAGGCACCAGGUUAGAAAUAUCAACGAUUCGUAUAAGUUACUUAGCGGAAAAUAACCAUUAGCUUGCCAGCGACUUGCUAGUGUAAAGGCCAAUAGUAUAUUAAUAACUAAUACUCCAAUUCGACUAAUUUGCUUGAUUUUCUUUAUUUUCGGAAAGGCAAUACUUGUCCAAUAAGCCAAUAAAGUCACUAGUAGAAGACCAAAAGAUAUAUUAAUGCAUGUAUUUUGCAUUAUACUUGAAUCCAUAAUAAGCUCCAACGUAUGUAGUAUUUAUAAUUACGUAUAUUAUAUAGUACUACUAUACAUCAAUAUCAUAACUGAGCUUAGUUGUUCAAUAAACAAAUAAAAUAGCUAAGCAAUAAGCUUGCUUAGCUAUUUUAUUUGUUUAUUAUAUUAUCAAGCUAUAAAUUAGGUUAAAGCAUUAACAAUAUAAUCUAGAGCUGCAACAUAUUCUCCACCUGCUUGAGCAGACAUGUCACGUGGCACACAUAGUCUAUCACGAGUGAAAGCGAAAGCAGCAACAUAAGAAGCUGAUGGAAGAUUUAAAGUUCUAUAAACUUCACGAGCACCAGCAAUAGCCCACUCAUCAAGAGGACCAGUUCCGCCAACUACUAAAGAAUAGUUUACAAGACGCAUAUAAUGAUCAACGUCUCUGUAGCACUUGUUUACUUUUUCUUGGCUAUCGCCAGCUUCACCUGGAUUUUUUAAGUAAGAAUACUUAGCAAAACAAGCGUCUCCACCUUCUUUUACAACAGCUUCAUGAUUACUAGCUAACUUUUCAGCAGCUUCUAAUCUAGCAGCAGCACGUUGAAUAUUACCUUGAACUGAUUCAAGAUCUGAAGAUGAAGGGAAACGACCAGCUGCGUCUGCAGCACUAAUCGUUGUAGUCAUAACUGAUUUCAUAUUAAUCUCCUUUUUUUAUUAAGUAUUUAGCCUAAGAGUAUAAAAAUUUAUAUACUCUAGUCUAUAACAGCUUUUAUUAGCUAAUUGCAGCAGCAACUCUAUCACAAUAGCUACCUAGUUCUGAUGCUAGAGCUGAACAGUCUCCAUCAGGACAAGCCAUUUUACGGUCAGAAGCUGUGCCUGAUACAAACGCUGUAGCUGAAGCUUUCAUAAUGCUUACAGCUCUUACUGAUGAAUUAGUAGGAACUCCUAACGCAAUGUAAGUUUCUUUUAAUCCAUUAAGACAACGAUCUUCUAGUACAGAAGGAUCGCCAGCUAGUAAAGCAUAAGAAGCAUAACGUAGAAUGAUUUCACCAUCACGUAGACAAGCAGCCAUACGACGAUUAGUGUAACAAUUACCACCAGGAGCAAUUAAGCCAGGAUUUUCACAAAUCAUACCUGAUACUGCAUCAGAAACGAUACAGCUAGCGUUUGAAACAACAAAGCUAACAGAAUCUAAGCGUUUGUUACCAUCAGUAAUGAAUUUUUUUAGAGCCUGUAGGUCACUGCCACCAACGUAAGCAGCUUUAGCGUCUGAAUUUACUACAACUCUGGAAAAUGCGUCAAGCAUGGAACUCUCCUUAUUACAAAUAUAAAGGACUUAGCUGUUUCAGCUGUUAAAAAAUUGAACUUGCUGAUGUAUUAGUAUCGAAUACAUAAUAUAUGACAGUUCUAAUAACCUAUUAAGAACAAAGUAAUAUAUUGUAACAAUAAAAUUUAGUUAAAAAUAGAGGAUUUAAAACUUACUGUUUUUAAUCAUAAAUUUAAUUAUAUUAUCUUUUAUGAGCAUGUAGCGAAGUAGCAAGUAUAAAUACUCUUUACUUUCAUUUUUGUCGAGUUCUGUAAUUUGAUUCUCUUUUAUUUUCAACUUAAACUGCUGUUCAAGACUUAAGUUAUUUGGGUAGUUCAUUAAUAAUUCUAUAAAUGGGUUUCAACCAGAUCUAAAUUCUGCUUUCAAUGAUCUUUUACAAGCUUUAGUAAUAAUAAAAAAUUGCAACUUAUUUUUAAUAAAUACCCUUACUGAGGUUUUCAUAGUAUACUUUAUCUGUAUGGCAUUAUUGUAGUCUUAUAAUCAAUAAUUUUAUAUUUAUAGAUAUAUAAACACAACAUAUAAAAGUAAUAUAUUAUUAAGAUUAUGCUAGCCUAUAGCGCUUGCUCUAAUUAUAAAAUAUCAUAUACACAGUAGAAUCAAUAAUUCCGGAGAAUAAAUAUGCCUAUUCCAAUAUUAAAUUAUUCGUUAUCAACUCAAAAUCAAAGAGUUAAUGGUUUUGAAUCUUAUCCUGGUGAUGAGCAGCCAAAAGUUUAUACAACUGAUGAUGUACCAACCGCAAGUGGAGUUGAUGAAAUUAUAUGGGCUGCAUAUCGCCAAAUCUUUAGUGAGCAUCAGAAUCUCCGAAGCAAUAUUAAUGAAGCUCUUGAAUCCCAGUUAAGAUUUGAUCAAAUCAAGGUUAAAGAUCUUAUUAAAGGACUAUUGCUUUCUAACGCUUUUAGAGACUUGAAUUACAAUGUGAAUAAUAAUUAUCGUUUUGUUGAAAUGUGUGUUCAAAGAGUAUUAGGUCGUGACAUUUAUAAUGAAAGAGAAAAAUAUGCAUUUUCUGUGAUUAUAGGGUCUAAAGGAUUAGAGAACUUUGUUGAUAUGUUAUUGAAUAGCGAUGAGUAUAUGGAAAACUUUGGUGACUCUACAGUCCCUUAUCAAAGAAGAAGAAUUAUUGCUCAAAGAAGUAAAGGAGAAAUGCCAUUUAAUUUAAAAACUCCGAGAACAUCUCAAGCUUUCAUGCGCAAAGCUGGGAUGCCUCAACUAAAUUGGGCUGGUCCUGUUCGACAAUUUAGGCCUCAAGAACAAGCUCCCAAAGCAGGAGAUCCAGCACUAUUUUUAUCAAUGGUACUAGAUGUAGCGUAAGAAAUUCUUUUUAAGGAGGUCAAUAAAGCCAUUGACCUUUUAUUGUAACACUUAGAAAUUAGCUACCUAGCUUAAAGGCAUCUACAAAUAAGCCAUAGACAAUACCUAUCUUAAUAUUAUUUACUUGCGGCACUAAAUAGAAACUACUCUUUGGAUACACCUUCUUGCUAAUAAUCUCAUAAAACGUUACUAUAAUUGCUGCUCCUACAAGCCCCCAGUCUCCAGUUUGACCAGGAAUUGUAGACAGAGCUGUCGAUAUGAAAAAGCCAAGUAGCAUACUCAAAACACUUAGACUUAAUUCAUUUAAUUUUUUGCAGAGUAUAGUAUUUAUAUACUCAUAUAGAUAGUAACUAAUUACCUCAAUUCUAGUUUGCCGCAUAUAGAAAUCAUUAUUUUUAACCUGAACUUGUAAUUUAUUGAUGCUAAAUAUUUUGUUCGCCUAAAGAGUUAAUAAUAUACUGAAAAGGCUCGUUCGUAAUCUUAAGCUGAUCAAUGUCUUUAGUCUUUUCAGCAAUAACAUCUUGUAGAAUUUGGAUACUGCGUAUAGUUGGUCCGAUCGGUACUUCUAGAGAGUUAUAAGUAUCUCGCAAUCCAUCCAAUACUCGCUCGCCUAUAAUAUUCACGUUUCCUGCCAUAAUCGCAUAACUUGAAUACCGUAAAUAGUAUUCAAUAUCUCUUAAACAUGCAGCGUAUCUGCGUGUUGUAUAAGAAUUGCCACCGGGUCUAAGUAAUUCAGGUUGUUCUUCGUAUAACUUAGCAGAUGCUUCUUUCACAAUGCUAGAUACGUUACUAUUAAUAACUUCGGCAAUUUUAAUUCUAUCCAAACCGCUUUUAAAGUAAUCAUCCAGUGUAUUCAUAGCUUCACUAUCUAGAUAUCUUCCAGACAAAUCAUAUUUGUUUACAAUACUUGAAACAGCGUCUUGCAUAAUUUGAGUCUCCAGCUUAUUAAUCGCAGUAAUAGUACUAAUUGUUUAUUAGUGUAAAAAUCCUAAUACCUAAUAUAAUUUAUUUUUUAGAUUCUAUGUGCGAAACUUGAUAGGUAUUAACAAAAAGUACAAAUAAAUUAUAAAUUAAUUGUCUUAAACAGUCAGAUUAUUAUGUUAGCUAUUUUAAUAUCUUAGAAAGAUAGUUCGUUAAUAUCCUGAGUUUAAUAAUCUCAGAAUAAAUAACAUUUCUAAGUUGUUAUAACAAACAAAAUAUAUGUCUUAAAAGGCAAAUUCUUAGCAACAAAAAAAACAGAGAAAAAUCCUAUUGAGAGAAAAUAUUGUUGAACGUUACGUUUGAAAUUGAACAAAAAAAUAAUUGUAAUAAAUAUAAAGAUGUUGUUACGAUUUUACGAAUAGGAUAUCCAAAAAAAUACAAAAAAAGUUGUGUAUAUGCUCAUAAUAUGGUUAAUACAAAGAGGCCUGUCCCACAUUAUGUGAAUAUUGUUUUAUAUGAUCGCGUUUAGAGAGGAACCAGUACAAUGAAAAUCUAUUGCAACUUAGCAAGCAGAUCAGAUAAUUCAUUAUGUUUAGUCUUUUAUAGAGUUAAUACAAUAAAGAACAGGAUAACCACAAUGGACUGUCCCAUUUUAAUAACAGGAAAAACUGCCAAUAUUAUUUGUAUCCUAUCUGUACUACACUUGCAAAUAGAAAAAGACCUGUCAACUAGCCAUGCUCUUUACUUAGGGAAAGAGUUACUCAAGUUAGAGUUAUCACUCAUAAUGCACCAAGAUUAUACACAAAAUUAAUGUAGUAACACUAUACAAACUAUUUACAUAAGCUGAACUAUGCUAAUAUUAUUAUAACUUAAGAGAGCAUGUAACUCAGUGGAUAGAGUGCCAGAUUCCGAUUCUGGAAGUCGAGGGUUCGAAUCCUUUCUUGCUCGUGCUAUUUUUCUUGACUUGCGUUAUAUUAUUAGAUACAAUUAUUGCAUAAUUUGAGACAUAUUAUAUGUUGGAUAAGGGACUGCUAGGUUUCUACAUGUUAAUAUUCUUGUAAUGAGCUGAGAGUCUGAAGUUUAAGUUUUACUUCUCAAACAAAAGCUUUUAUAAUAAACGCAAAAAAUCAAAUUGUUACGUUUUCCCGUGGCUUAGUAGUAGCAUAAAAUAUCUUGUCUACGAGCUUGAGCAUCAAUUGCUACUUUAUUAAGGCGCUAUUGAUUAUAUAUAUAUAUAAUACUCUUGGUUCAUACAUUGGUACCAAUAAAUUGAAUCAAUUAACGUAAAUGACCAAUACAAAAUAUAGAUAAUUCUCUCAUGGUUUUCAUACCACUUUAUACAAAUUUGUAUUAACAUGGACGUGGGUUCAACUCCCACCAGUUCCAUUUAUCACAGGCCUCUCCAAUUUUAAUAGCUUACUAAACUUAAUAUAAGAGAGUGCCGUUGUAAGCUAGUUCGCGUAAUUAUUGUUAUAGCUACACUGUCAUUUUAUUAUCUUUUAUGAAGGGGGACUCGUGAGUGCAUUUAAUUUUUUUAUUUUAAGGCUUUCUUCUCAAGCAGCAAAUAUUCAACUACCGAUUGAAAAAAUUUCUAUUAAUACUUCUGUCAACAUAAAAACUAGAAAUGAACUUCUUAUUGUUAAAACAUUGCAACAAAGACGAAGUUUACCUUAUACUAUUAUUGAUAAUCCAAAAAUUUUAACUACUGAGUCUGCAUAUCGUUUUGCUAAACUAAACUCUUAUAACAGAGCAUUAUUUAAAGAUCUAGUCAGUAAAUACUGGCAACAGUCAAUUUUUUUAUCAGCUUUCAAUCCCACAACCGAUAAGUAUAUUACAAAGUUAGCGAGGCAACGUAGUGCGAGUACAAAAGACAAACAAAAAAGAUUCUUUAUAGAUUUUAAUAAAGCACUAGUGAGUGAUCCAAUAAGCGCAAGUGGCAUUACUGCCCAUCUUCCUCAUAAUUUUGAAGUAAACAGUCCUGUAAAGUAUAUCUGGAAAAAAGGGUUCAAUCUGCAGAAACCUAGGUUUUUGCCUAGCUUAUCUUUUAGUAGUCUAUUAAGAAGUACACCUCAGACAACGCACGUAAAAUUAUUGCAAAGCCUAACUAAUAGUCAUUUACCCUUAUACGUGGUCGUGAAUGGUUUCAAGCAAAUGAUUAUUCCUGGGCCGCCUAAUGAUUUUAGUAAUAAAGAGACUUUUAAUAAUGUGUUGCGCCAAUGGUAUCAUAAUACUUUUCUCGGGAAUCAAGAUGAACAUGUCGCUUAUCAAGGAUGGUUCUUUGUAAAUCCCCAAGACGCUCUAGAGUAUAAAGCAUUUAUUGCUAAUAAAAAAAAUGGUACUUCUACUGAAAGCCCUCUUGGAAUUUUACCAAGCAGAUUCGACUCUUAUUAUCGCUUAAAUAGAAAAGCUAUGCCUCGAACAGAGUUCCGUUUAUUUCCAGAUAUAGAAGAAGUAGAAAAAAUUCUUUACGCACCCAAGUAUAAAAAAGACUUAGUCAUCGACAGCAGACAAAAUAUCGGAAGGUCAUAUUUCCAGGGGCAACCGAUUUAUUUAAUAGAGCCUACUAAAUGUAGUGUAAAAGGUGGCAAACAGAAAAUUAAUUUCACUCCUCGGUAUAAGAUGCCAAUUAAUUCUUUUACUGAAGAAUAUAAUCCAAUUUUUCUUACAAAAACAAGUGCCUUAAAUGCCUGGACAAAAAUCAAUGCAAAAUAUCCAGAAUAUAGAUUACCAUCUAUACCACAAUUACGCCUAUAUAAUUUAGAGGAUUUCUUAAAAGAUCAAGAAGUCCAAGAUAGUCCAGAAAGCUUUAUCUUAAUGCCUGGACCUGGUUCAUCAAUACCUAACCUUGAGUCGUUGCAUUUAAUAAAUUCUCAUGGAAAGCUUCAACAUCUUGAAGCAGUUUCUUCUCGUCCUAUAUUAGCAUCCAAAUUAUGGCUUCAAAGACUUGUAUGGUCACUAACAAGACGAAAACCUCCCCAGUGGGAAGUCUAAUAACACAUGAGACAGUACUGGCUAGAUUGUUUAAAAGUUAUUUUCUUGAAUAGUAUUCUACAAUUAAUAAUUCAUUAAGCUGUAGAGCAACCCAUUCUCUUUCAACAAUUCCAUUUACUUUCCCAAUUAAUUGUGAAGAGUCCAACUCUAGAUGACUUGGGAUGUUUGCAAGUCCAGGAAAGCUUAAGUAUUUUUCUAUUAAGCUUUUUGAAUUAGUUUGAUCAUUAACUGUUAUAAUAUCUCCUGGUUUACAUUGAUAACUUCCAACAGAAACUCUUCUGCUAUUAACGUAAAUAUGUCCAUGAUUUACAAGUUGUCUUGCUGCUGGAAUUGUAGGAGCCAUACCCAAUCUGAAGAUAGUAUUGUCCAAUCUCAUUUCUAAUAAUUGCAGUAAUACUUGCCCAGUAGAUCCCUGCAAUUUUUUUGCUACCUUAACGUAAUUAAACAGUUGUUUCUCAUUAACUCCGUAGUUAAAUCUUAGUUUCUGUUUUUCUUCUAGACGUACUGCAUACUCGGAAGGCUUUCUAUUUUUUUCACCAUGCUCACCUGGGGGAGCUUGUUUUUUAGAAACUUUUCUAGUUAAACCAGGUAGAUCUCCUAGCCUACGACAUAUACGUAAUCGGGGUCCUCUGUAUCUUGACAUAUUAUUAUUUUUUCUUUGUAAAUUGUUAGUAUUUGAGAAGACUGUUAAUAUUAAGUUCAAAAAAUAUAAGGCUCAAGCUAUAUUUUAGGACAAUGCUCUUCUAUAUCUUUUUUGGGGUUAGUAUCAUAACCAUGUUUUUUCCAUCACGCGAUGGAGAUUGUUGAACUUCGGAUACAGCUUCUAAGUCUUUAGCCAUUUUUUGAAGUAACUCGAUCGCAAGAUUUACAUGUUGUAUUUCUCGACCGCGGAAUGUGAUAGUAGCCUUAACCUUAUCACUUGCUUGUAAGAAGCGUAAUGCUUGAUUAAUCCGAACUUGGUAAUCAUGCUCUUCUAUCUUAUAACGCAUUUUUACUUCUUUCAAGUUAGCAUUAUGCUGUUUCUUUUUAGCUUCUUUAGCUUUCUUUUCUUGAUUAAACUUGUAUUUACCGUAGUCAACAAUCCUACAGACAGGAGGGAUAGAUUUAUCGCUUACUAGUACAAGGUCAAGGCCACUGUUUUGAGCUUCUUUUAGUGCUUCACUUAUUGCAACAACACCAACCUGAGUACCUUUAGAAUCAAUUAGCCGUAUCUCAGGAAAUUGAAUACGAUCAUUGAUAAAUGGCAAGUCAUUUUGUCUUUUCUUGAAAUUUUUGUGUUUUUCCAACUCUAGUUCUCAACAGUGGUAAUCUCUCUAAUUAUAAAAAAAUAUUGUGAAAUAUCUAAAAAUUAUUAUAACAUAACAGUAAUUAGGUAUCGCAAAGAUAUAUCAUUUGUAUUUAAGAUAUAAUCGAUAAACCCCAUGUAUAUAUAACAGAUUACAUUAUCUCAAAGUAUAAUUAUUAUGAAGCAUACAUUAUCUGUACUAGUCGAAGAUGAAUCGGGCGUUCUAUCUCGAAUUGCAGGUCUAUUUGCUCGUCGGGGCUUUAAUAUUGAAAGCCUUGCAGUAGGUCCUACUGAAGAAAUAGGCAUUUCUAGAAUAACAAUGGUUGUCCCCGGGGACAAUAGAACUAUCGAGCAGUUAACGAAACAGUUAUAUAAGUUGGUAAAUGUUUUAAAUGUUUACAACAUUACUAACAUAGCUUGUGUAGAGCGUGAGCUAAUGUUACUAAAAAUAAGCGCGUUAAAAGAAUAUCGAUCCGAUAUAUUAGAAGUAGUCAAUAUCUUUCGUGGACAUAUUGUAGAUAUUUCUAAGUCAUUCCUUGUCUUAGAAGUUACAGGCGAUCCUGGCAAGAUUGCAGCAAUACAGCAAAUCUUGUCCCAAUAUGGCAUUGUUGAAAUUGCAAGAACUGGUAAAAUUGCUUUAACUCGAGCAUCUAAUAUGGACACAGAACUACUCUUAGAAUCAACCCGUGCACAAAAGCAGUUUCAAUACUUAUAAGUUACUCCAUCCAGCUACCAGGGUUAUCAAUAAAAGAUAAGCAUUCUACAAUAUCCCAAUCUAUAUUUAAAACGAGUGAGUUAUGCUUGAUAUUAACAUUUAUAAUAGGUGCACGAGGAGUAAAUAACAUAUAUAAAUUCAACUGCUUAGAAGUUGGUGCAUAAUGUUGUCUUUGGACAAUGCUAUAAGCGGAGCAAUUAUUUAUAUAUAGACAAUUAAUACAGAUACACAUCCAAACAUCUUUCUUUUUAACAAAUUAAUUUUUAAUUAUUGGGGGUGGAGGGACUUGAACCCUCACGACCAUUAAAGAUCAACAGAUUUUAAGUCUGUUGUGUCUACCAUUCCACCACACCCCCGAUACAUAUAUAAAGCGUGUAUAGCUAUUGUGUUAUGUUAGGCGGCACCCAGAUUCGAACUGGGGGUAAAGGAUUUGCAAUCCUCUGCCUUACCACUUGGCCAUACCGCCAUACAAGACUAUUAAUAUCAUAUCACACUUAAUUAAAAUCUGUAACGAGAAGAAUUUAAUCUUUUAAAAAGAGUCUGCUUUUCAUAAUAUCUUCUGACUGUAUAGUCACUAAAUCAGAUUUUGUCAGCAUUUUAUCUCCACCAGCAAAAAUACGAUUAGCCUGCCUCAUUCGUGCUCUAUCAAUUGCAUUACGAAUACUUCUUGCAUUAGCAAAAUGAGGUUGUUUCAUUCGACGACUUGUAUACUCAAGUAAAACUUGAUCAGCAUCAGGUGCAAAACAAUACUGUUGAUCUUGAAGCAUCAGUUUAGCAAUCUGUAAUAGUUCUUCUGAGGUAUAAUCAGGGAAAUCUACAUGAUUUGUAACUCUUGAUGAUAGUCCAGGAUUAGACUCAUAAAAUUUAUCCAUACGAUCUUUAUAUCCAGCAAAUAUUACAACUAAGUCAUCUCUCUGAUUUUCCAUAACUUGUAGAAGGAUCUCAAUCGACUCUGCACCAUAAUCUCGUUCAUUAUCUGCUUUAUAUAGAUAAUAAGCUUCAUCAAUGAAUAAUACUCCUCCCAUUGCUUGCUUAAGAACUUCUUUAGUUUUUGGUGCAGUAUGACCUAUAUACUGCCCUACAAGGUCAUCUCUUGUAACAGUCAUUAGAUGUCCUUUCCUGAUGUAUCCUAGUCUAUUUAAAAUAUCAGCCAUCUUCAUCGCAACUGUUGUCUUGCCUGUUCCUGGGCUACCAGUAAAAGACAUAUGUAACCCUGGACUACCAGAGACUAGAUCUAGGCUUUUUCUCAAUCUAUCAAUCAAAAGCAAAGCAGCAAUCUCUUUAAUUCUUGUUUUUACUGGAACUAGUCCAACAAGUUCCUUCUCCAAUUCAUCUAGUACUUCUUGAAUUUGUGUUUUAUCAUAUUCUUCUUGAAGGUUAACAAGAGUAUCGUCUGAAAAUUUUUGUGGCAUAUUAUUUUUAAGUUAAUAUUAAAUAAAUAAAAGAAAUUAUAUUUCUAUAAUUUCUUUUUUAGUCUAAGUUAUGAAUAAAUAUUACUUAAUGCUCUAGUAACGAGAGCCUUCAGGUUUUUCUGUAGCAUAACUAUGAAUAGCAUACUUUUGGUUACGUCCAAUAUCUUCAGUACGUAGAAGUCCGAAACCAGGUUCAGAAGCAGGUCUGUUGAUGAUGAAAGAUAAAGAACAACUUUCAACUCCUCGAGUAUUAUCAAAAGCGUUUACUUUGAUGUAUACUCCUGGAUGUGCCUUACGGCAACUAGAAAUUUCAUACAUUACAGUAGAUGCAUCUGGAAUAUCAAAUAGUGGAAGACCCCACAGUUCCCAGUAAGAAUUACGUGGGUGUGGAUCAUCAGUGUACUCGAUAUUUACAGACCAACCUUUUGACAUAGCAUAUGAUACUUGCUUUGAAAUUUGUUCAUCUGUCAAAUCUGGCAGGAAGGAAAAAGCUCCUUGUGUUAAUCUCACUAUUCUAUACUCCUUUAAUGAUUAGGCAAGUAGUAAUCUAAAAUUUAAUCUUCUAAUUUAAUUAGAAGUAAACUUAAGAUUAGUUAUAUUUAAACGUUAGCUGUUGGAGUCUCAACGAAAUCAGCUGUAUCAGUAGAGGUAUAGUUAAAACUAAUAUCUUUCCAUAAAUCUAAAGCUGUUUGUAGAGGUCCACAAGUUUUCGCUGCAUCUCUUAGAAUUUGAGGACCUUCAGCAACAAAGUCGCGUCCUUCAUUUCUUGCAAUUACCAUGCUCUCUAAAGCUACACGGUUUGCAGUUGCGCCGGCUUGGAUACCAUCAGGGUGACCAAUUGUACCACCACCAAACUGAAGAACUACAUCGUCUCCAAGGUAGUCUAACAGUUGAUGCAUUUGUCCACAAUGAAUACCACCAGAAGCAACAGGAGUACAUUUUCUUAGCGAAGCCCAAUCUUGUUCAAAGAAGAUACCUUGAGGUAAGUUAACUUCAAGAUGACUCUCAAGUAAAGUAUUGUAGAAACCUUGAAUCAUUACAGGGUCACCCUCUAAUUUACCAACUACAGUACCUGCGUGAAUAUGAUCGACUCCAGCCAUACGCAUCCACUUACAAAUAACACGGAAAUUCAUACCAUGAAUCUUUUGACGAGAGUAUGUUGAAUUACCAGCUCUGUGUAAAUGUAAAAUCAUAUCUGUUCUACGAGCCCAGAUUGCCAUACUUUGGAUAGCUGAAUAACCAAUUACAAGGUCAAUCAUGCAAAUAACACUACCUAGUUGUUGAGCAAAAUCAGCUCUUUCGUACAUAUCUUCCAUUGUAGCAGCUGUUACAUUAAGGUAAUGUCCUUUAAUCUCACCAGCAGCAGCUUGAGCACGGUUAACACCUUCCAUAGAGUAAAGGUAUCUUUCGCUGUAACGCAUGAAUGGUUGAGAAUUAAUAUUUUCAUCAUCUUUAAGGAAGUCUAGACCGCCUUUUAGACCUUCAUAUACUACUCGACCGUAGUUCUUACCAGAUAGACCUAGUUUAGGCUUUACAGUUGCGCCAAGAAAAGGACGACCAAACUUAUCCAUACGUUCACGUUCUACAACUGUUCCUGUUGCAGGACCUUGGAAAGUUUUAAGAUAUGCAACUGGUAAACGCAUGUCUUCAAGACGUAAAGCUUUUACAGCUUUAAAUCCGAAUACGUUACCAAUAAUUGAAGCAGUUAAGUUUGCAAUUGAUCCUUCUUCAAAUAAAUCAAUAUCAUAUGCAAUGUAUGCAAAGUACUGAUCACUUGUAUUUGGUACUGCAUCUACUUUAUAACAUUUUGCUCUGUAUAAGUCGCAAGCUGUUAAUAGAUCUGUCCAUACAACGGUCCAAGUUGCUGUUGAAGAUUCACCAGCAAUUGCAGCAGAAGCUUCGAUCGGAUCUACACCUGGUUGAGGUGUAACACGAAAUAAAGCUAAUACAUCAGUUUCUAAAAUUACGUGUUCAGGAUCCCAAUAUCCCAUUUUAGCAUAUGGAAUUACUCCAGACUCGUAACGUUCGUUUUUGAUCCUUGUCCGUUGUUCUACGGAUUGAGACAUGUAUUCCUCCUUGAAUUUAAGGCAGUUUCGUUAGGUUUCUAUCUUAAUCGUCUCUAAAGACUAAUAAGUUUUGAAUAAAUCAUAUAAAAGACUAAAUCUUUCAUAACCCCCUUAAUAAUCUAUCACUUUCUGACUAUCAACUGGUCAUAACUUUGUUUAUAUUAACGAUAAGUUUAUUUAAUGUGUUGUCUGUUAGAAGAUAUAAACCUUACUCAUUCUAUGAAAUUUGUGAUACAAUUUACUCAGCAAGGGAAUAUGCAAAGAGGGUAUAAAUCUUGUCAGUUUCUCAGGUAAUGGACUCUACUUUUGAUGAAGAAGUGUUAAAUCAUAAUCAGCCAGUUCUUGUGGACUUUUGGGCACCGUGGUGUGGACCAUGCCGCUUGGUUGCUCCUGUAGUUGAUGAGAUAGCCCAAGAAUACAGCGAUAGCUUUAAAGUUGUGAAAAUAAACACCGACGACAAUCCUGGCAUAGCCAGUAAAUACGGAAUUCGGAGUAUACCAUCUCUUAUGAUCUUUAAGAAUGGGAUCAGAGUAGAUAUGGUGAUUGGUGCCAUACCCAAAUCUACGUUAGCUGCAACACUAAACAAAUAUGUAGGUUCUUAAAUAAUUUACUAAAUAAUUAUAAUAUACAAAAUGGAAGGAUCGUAAUAUAAUGGCCAAAAAAUGUUAUGUAACUGGUAAAACAAGAAAUAAUGGAUAUUCUAUUUCACACUCUCAUAUACGGACAAAAAAAAUUCAGGGAGUAAACUUGCAAAGCAAGAAAAUUUGGUCCGAGAAACAACAGAGAUGGAUUAAAGUGAAAAUUUCUACUAAAGGGAUUAAAACUUUAUUGAAGCAGCAAACAAUAAGAUAGUAAGCUAAUGGCUAGAUGACAAUUCAUUAAUAUUGUGCUAUAAUAUAAUUAACACAUCGUUACGGUCAGAAACUAACCUUUCUGAGCGAGCAAUGAACUAUAGCAAAUGAGAGUUUUGGGAGCACAAAUACUAUGGAAUCAGUAAACUUUAUCAAUGAUCUUCAAGAUCUUGAAUCAAAUGACGGAGUACGUGAAGAAGCUUUAUUAGGAUGGUCAUCAACCUGUUUGGAUGAAACCUUAUCAUACUAUGUAGAACAUAAUUCUGAGGAAGUGCGUGAAGAACACAAAACUUUUAAUUAACAGAAUCUAAUCAAUAGAAGUACUGUACCUUAAUGUUAUUCUUAUAAUAAAUAAAAUAACUUGAAGUACAGUACUUAUAUAUUUGUUAGUUGCCAAAUGAUUAGAUUGCUGAUAAUAUAAUUCUGAGUAUUAAUAUAAAUUGCUAGUGUAGCUCAAUUGGUAGAGCAGCUGAUUUGUAAUCAGCAGGUUAUGGGUUCAAGUCCCUUCACUAGCUUUCAUGACUCAAACUUUAAUUAAAUAAGCUAAGUCCUGCAGUCUGUAGGACAGGAAUAUUGGCUAAGCAUAAGUAAGCAAAACCAGCUCCACCGACAGCUCCUACUAAAAAUCCAGCUGUAAAUUGACCCCAUCCUUCCGAAGUUUGCAGGGAAUCUUUAGAAUCAUCCUUAUUGAACGAUACAUUCCCAUACAUAGACAAACAAGUUGUUAAAAUAAUAAUUAACCCUACUGCUGACAAAAAGCCUGAUAGAAGAGCUACGUCUGUAUUACGUAGUGGACCUAAUUUGUCAAAAGGACCUACAAGAAAAUAUCCAUGUGCCAUACCAAUUUCAAGACCCCGCAUGAGAGGUGUUACACCACGCCUAUAAGCGGGUAAAUUGCUUAAUAAGCCACGAGUAAAACUAGAUGUACUCACCGGUGUGGAUAAAUUGCCUACGAAUGGGUCUUCAUUAUAAGGUUGUAUAAAGUCUGUCAUAGUUCUGAUUUCCAGAUGUAAUUAAUUAAAUAUAAAUAGUUAUGAUCAUAUUAAUAUAUGAUAUAAUGAAAUACGAGACUUUUGACAUAUUUCUUAGAAAGAAUUUAAAUAAAUAUAUAUAAUAAGCGAUAUCUUAAGAUUAUGUAAUUAAUAUGACCAUAUUACUUAUAUAAUGAAAGGACGAGAAGAAUAUUCAAAUUUACACCGCAGGAGUUGAUAAUGUCAAUUUUUAUUAGUUAUAUUAUUUUUUUAGCUCUAUUUAUGGGACUAGCUCUCGGAUUAUUUUUUAGCUUACAAGCGAUAGAACUAAUCUAACUCAAAUAAUAAGAUGUAUCUAAUCAAUAUCACAGCUAAUAGAUCUUUAAUCUUGUGUUCACUGUAAAAAAAUAUUAUUUUAGCCUUUAUCAUGUAGAUUAAUAGGUCGAGAGAACACUAUUCUAUACAUUAUUUUUAUUUACACAAAGAUCUGCAUAUACCAUGAGUAUAAAAACGGACAAUAUUACCGGUUCUAGACGUGUUAGUAAUUACUGGUGGGCGACAGUUAUAAUGACUGGAGGAUUUGGUUUCUUUUUGGCUGGAAUGUCAAGUUAUCUAAAAGUUAAUCUAUUACCAUUUACUAGCUCCGCUCAGCUGUUAUUUAUUCCUCAAGGCAUUAUUAUGACUUUUUAUGGGACUAUAGCAGUUCUAUUAAGCAUCUUUUUAUGGCUAACGAUUUUAUGGAAUGUAGGCGGUGGUUACAAUGAGUUUGACAAGACCAAAGGCAUAGUUACCAUUUUUCGUUCUGGUUUUCCAGGCAAAAAUAGAAAUGUAUCUUUAACCUAUCGGAUUAAUGAAAUCCAAGCGAUUAAAGUUUCAAUACAAGAUGGGCUGACUCCACGACGUGAAAUAUACUUAAAAACUAAGGAUAGUAGAGAGAUUCCCCUAACUCGAGUUGGUGAGCCUUUGCCGCUAGCAGAGUUAGAAGAACAAGCUGCAGAGUUAGCACAAUUCUUAGGAGUGAUCUUGGAAGGGAUUUCAUAGAUAGAAAGUUUAUCUACUAAAAUAGUUUUAUAUUAUGUACAAAGUAUGAUAUGAUAUUUGAUGUUAAGCGGGUAUAGUUUAGUGGUAAAACCUUAGCCUUCCAAGCUAAUGAUGCGGGUUCGAUUCCCGCUACCCGCU
rnacentral:tRNA from 1 species